rnacentral:rRNA from 1 species
AUAUCAGUCAUGCAUAGCAUAUCAAUAAGCGGAGGAAAAGAAACUAACAAGGAUUCCCCUAGUAACGGCGAGUGAAGCGGGAAGAGCUCAAAUUUGAAAUCUUAAAGGGUUCUACCUUGACGAAUUGUAGUUUAUAGAAGUGUUUUCUGUAGUGGAGUUCGGUAAAAGUUCUUUGGAAUAGGACAUCAUAGAGGGUGAGAAUCCCGUAUUUGAUCAUUACUUUCCUAGCUGUGUGAUACACUUUCAAAGAGUCGGAUUGUUUGGGAAUGCAGUCCAAAAUGGGUGGUAAAUUUCAUCUAAAGCUAAAUAUUGGCGAGAGACCGAUAGCGAACAAGUACCGUGAGGGAAAGAUGAAAAGAACUUUGAAAAGAGAGUUAAACAGUACGUGAAAUUGUCAAAAGGGAAGCGUUUGACACCAGUGUUGUUUUUCCUGAAAAUCAAUUACGAAUGUUUUGUUUUUAAGAAGUUAUGACUUCAUCGGCUUGCUUCUUUCUUUACGAAACUCUCUUAAUGCACUUUUCGGUUAACAAGUCAACAUCAAUUUCUUUUGUUGUAAAAGGGUAUGAGGAAGGUGGCUUUCUUUUCGGAGAAAGUGUUUAUAGCCUUGUGCCUCUGCAAUCGGAGAGAUUGAGGUCUGCAGCGUAGAUCCUUCGGGGUUAGAUACAGUUUGUGCUAAGUUAUAGUCUUUUAUAGACAACUUGUUGACUAUGAUUUAGUCUUGUAGCUUACUCGCUGACUGCUAUUUCACCUACGCUUAGGAUGUUGAUCUCUCACAGUCGAGC